AACAAAAUGAACGAAAUUAAUUCUAAAUACGAACGAGGAGCACUUUAGUUUACAUCAAAUCAGUUAAAGUGUUCAUUGUUUUCUAUUGUUUACUGCUACUAUUGUUUGUUGAUGACAUUUUAAGCGAUUUUGACGUUGUCAAACUGACCCCCAUCAAUCGAUGGAAAAACGAUGUUGCCUAUUGUCAAACUCUGUAUGUAGAGAUAGGGAUGCCAGUUACCUGGUCAGAUCGGAUGAUAUGGAGAAAAUUGAGGUUUUCUUGAUACUAGAAAAACUCUAGUAAGAGAACUGCGGAGAGAAAAGCAGCAUUUUUGUCAACGUAUGCCCCGGCAUUGUAUGGCAACACGUCCAAUGUUAUAAGGAUAGGCAAUGUUCGAUUGGAUUCGGUUUUUGACAGCUAAACCCGAAUCCAAUCGAUCCAAAAUGGAGUCUCCGCAGUUCUCUUUCUAGAGUUUUUCUACUUGAUACCAUUCGAGCCAAGUCAGACUCAGCAAUGACCAAGAACGUUCUUUCUGCUCCCAACGCCCAAAGAAAUAGGAAUUGCGCGCGGUUUUACCGUAGUCAAUAUAAAGUAUUUUUGUAUUUUUCUUAAAUGGUGUUCAGUGUGCUUAUGAUGUUUUUUUUUGUUAUAAAGUAAGGAGCAAGAAUGAGAAACGAAUAGAAUGUUAAAAAUUUGUCGGAUAUAUAAAAGAUGUUAGUACGUGUUAAAAGUAAGAAAAGCUAAAAACAGAAAAGCACGAAACAUACGAAGUAAAACGGGAUAAAAAGCAACGGUAUAACUGGUGACCACAACAAAUACGUCAAGGUUCACUUGAUUGAAGGUUCAGCUCGCCGGGUAGCCAAUUACAGCACUAUUUUCAUAACUCUCUGGGCAACGAAAGCUUAAUUUUGCAAUAACUCAUCAACCAGUUGUCAUAGCUAUGGACUGUCUUUAAAAGAAGUUAUUCUUCUUGACUGAAUCUGUAGAAUGUAGCAUACGAUAUAUUUUUCUGGGGCACCAGGCGGCAUAUGUAUGAAUUUAAUGAAAAUGUCUUAUGUUCUCAUAGUAAACUCCAUACAAACUUAGAAUUAUUUGUGCUAAAACAUGCUCCAACAGAUUUGAUCAGAUUUAGUGUAGGAGUUCGUUGAAGAAUUACGAAUUUUUGUAACUUGGUUCUGCGGUAUUCAAUUUGUUUUCAUACAUCCUCGUGCCACCCUAAUAUAUGUACAUAAAAAAAACUUUGUCCGGCGCGGUAGUUUCAAAGCUGCAUCGG